CUGAUUACGUACCUCAUGUGGACGCCCAAGGGUGAGAUGAACAGCAGGCCGGCUCCGGCUCCAGUUUUCAUGAGUGACCCAUCGAAAUACAUUGUCCAUAGCUCCGCCUGGACCUGGGUCGGGGGGAGCUGGGUGUCCGUCCAUUCUGCGAUGAAGUCUACGAGGGCCUGCGAUUUGAUGGCCUUGCGAGGCGCAUAAGUGAGAGUCUCACUCAUGAGCUCGACCGACCAUUUUGCUAUUCUUCCCGUGGCUUCUUUGCUCUGGAUUAUUUCGCCUAAAGGAAAAGACGAGACCACCGUGAUGGGGUGGCCAAGGAAGUAAUGCUGCAGCUUGCGACGGGCAAGGAUUACGGCAUAAAUCAGCUUCUGGAUUUG
rnacentral:lncRNA from 1 species